ACCACUGCCCUCCAGGCAGGGCAACAGAGCAAGACUCCAUCUCAAACAAAACAAAACAAAACAACAACCUUGAGCAGGAGUAGGAGCAGACUAUGGUCAACUUAUACUUUGUACAAUACAUAUGUAUUAGGUGCAAUCAGGAAAAUACUAAAGAUUUUAAAAGAAAGACUAACAUUGAGAAAAAUCAAAGGGCAAUGCCAAGAGAAAAAAGGCUUAUUUGAUGGAAAGGGAAGAUUCCAUUUCUUUCUCCACUGGCUCCCAAUUUGGUGGUGGUGGGGCGUGGGGGUUCACACCAAACAAUUCUACAAUUCUCUGCAGACCUUAGGAGGGUGUCUGUCAGUCUUUUGCUAUAAUGGAAUACCUGAGACUGGGUAAUUUAUCAAAAAAUGAAGUUAAGGGCUGG